rnacentral:rRNA from 1 species
AUUGAACGCUGGCGGCAGGCUUAACACAUGCAAGUCGAACGAGUGGCGGACGGGUGAGUAAUGCUUGGGAAUCUAGCUUAUGGAGGGGGAUAACUACGGGAAACUGUAGCUAAUACCGCGUACCAUAGGAUGAGCCCAAGUGGGCUUAGGUAGUUGGUGAGGUAAAGGAUCACCAAGCCGACGAGCUCUAGCUGGUCUGAGAGGAUGACCAGCAACACUGGGACUAGGACGAGGCCCAGACUCCUACGGGAGGCAGCGGCGGGGAAUAUAGCGCAAUGGGGACAACCUAGAGCAGCCAUGCCGCGUGAAUGAAGAGGGCCUUCGGGUUGUGAAGUACUUUCGGUAGCGAGGCGUUAACUACAGAAGAAGCACCGGCUAACUCCGUGCCAGCCGCCGCGGUAAUAC